GCCCCGGUAGCAUAGCUGGUUAAUGCUUCGUGCUUAUAUAUCCACAAAUAUAUUUCUCUACGCGAGGAUCGAGGGUUCGAACCCCUCCCGGAGCA